rnacentral:rRNA from 1 species
CCUACGGGAGGCAGCAGUGAGGAAUAUUGGUCAAUGGCCGGGAGGCUGAACCAGCCAAGUCGCGUGAGGGAAGACGGCCCUACGGGUUGUAAACCUCUUUUGUCAGGGAGCAAGGUGCAGGUCGGGACCUGCUGUGAGAGUACCUGAAGAACAAGCAUCGGCUAACUCCGUGCCAGCAGCCGCGGUAAUACGGAGGAUGCGAGCGUUAAUCGGAAUUACUGGGCGUAAGGCGCACGUAGGCUGUAUGUCAAGUCAAGGGGGAAAUCCCACGGCUCAACCGUGGAACUGCCUUUGAAACUGGCAAACUGGAGUAUGUGAGAGGGCGGCGGAAUUCCUGGUGUAGGAGUGAAAUCCGUAGAUAUCAGGAGGAACAUCAGUGGCGAAGGCGGCCGCCUGGCACAAAACUGACGCUGAGGUGCGAAAGCGUGGGUAGCAAACAGGAUUAGAUACCCUAGUAGUC